rnacentral:rRNA from 1 species
CUCGUAGGCGGUUCGUCGCGUCCGGUGUGGAAGUCCAUCGCUUAACGGUGGAUCUGCGCCGGGUACGGGCGGGCUGGAGUGCGGUAGGGGAGACUGGAAUUCCCGGUGUAACGGUGGAAUGUGUAGAUAUCGGGAAGAACACCAAUGGCGAAGGCAGGUCUCUGGGCCGUUACUGACGCUGAGGAGCGAAAGCGUGGGGAGCGAACA